AGUGAACGCUGGCGGUAGGCCUAACACAUGCAAGUCGAACGGCAGCACAGUAAGAGCUUGCUCUUACGGGUGGCGAGUGGCGGACGGGUGAGGAAUACAUCGGAAUCUACUUUUUCGGGGGGGAUAACGUAGGGAAACUUACGCUAAUACCGCAUACGACCUACGGGUGAAAGCAGGGGAUCUUCGGACCUUGCGCGAUUGAAUGAGCCGAUGUCGGAUUAGCUAGUUGGCGGGGUAAAGGCCCACCAAGGCGACGAUCCGUAGCUGGUCUGAGAGGAUGAUCAGACACACUGGAACUGAGACACGGUCCAGACUCCUACGGGAGGCAGCAGUGGGGAAUAUUGGACAAUGGGCGCAAGCCUGAUCCAGCCAUACCGCGUGGGUGAAGAAGGCCUUCGGGUUGUAAAGCCCUUUUGUUGGGAAAGAAAAGCAGCAGGUUAAUACCCCGCUGUUCUGACGGUACCCAAAGAAUAAGCACCGGCUAACUUCGUG
rnacentral:rRNA from 1 species